AAGUUUUCAUCUGCAAAAGUUGUUCCAUAGAUACUGUGACCUGGAUGGAAACAAGAACAAGGAAGAGAAGACACAUGUCCAACAAACCUCUGAGUCGUGUCCUGGACGGAUUAUUGAGCGUCGGACUGAAUGUAAGCUGCCUCGUUUGUCAUACGGGACGGAGCGAGGAUCAGACGCUCCUGACGGGACGGCGGACACUCAGAGGAACUUCUGACAUGUCCGGUAACCGAUGGGUUUGUACCGUGUGAGCAGCCGGGUCGAGGACUGACCAUCGGACCGCGAACACGUAAAAUCUUGCCAGGGCGACAAAGUUGCUGACAGUGAGUGGGACGACCUCUCCAAACAGCCCGAUGACGAUCCGCCCCACCUCGUGACCCGCCACUGUGAUGUCAAAGAACACCUGGAGGCACGCACACACACACACACACACACACAC